rnacentral:rRNA from 1 species
GACGAACGCUGGCGGCGUGCCUAAUACAUGCAAGUAGAACGCUGAAGGAGGAGCUUGCUCUUCUGGAUGAGUUGCGAACGGGUGAGUAACGCGUAUGUAACCUGCCUCUUAGCGGGGGAUAACUAUUGGGAACGAUAGCUAAUACCGCAUAACAGUAGAUGUUGCAUGACAUUUGCUUAAAAGGUGCAAUUUCACCACUACCAGAUGGACCUGCCGUGGUUUAGGUAGUUGGUGGGGUAACGGCUCACCAAGGCGACGAAACAUCGCCGACCUGGUAGGGGGGUUGGCCACACUGGGAAGUGGACACGGCCCAGACCCCUACGGGAGGCAGGAGGAGGGAAAUUUCGGCAAUGGACGGAAGUCUGAACGAGCAAAGCCGGGGGAGUGGAGAAGGGUCUCGGAUCGUAAAGAUCCGUUGUAAGGGAAGAACGAGUGUGAGAGUGGAAAGUUCACACUGUGACGGUAUCUUACCAGAAAGGGACGGCUAACUACGUG